UACGAAGGGGGCUAGCGUUGCUCGGAAUCACUGGGCGUAAAGCGCACGUAGGCGGCGUCUUAAGUCAGGGGUGAAAUCCUGGAGCUCAACUCCAGAACUGCCUUCGAUACUGGCGAUCUUGAGUCCGGAAGAGGUGAGUGGAACUCCUAGUGUAGAGGUGGAAUUCGUAGAUAUUAGGAAGAACACCAGUGGCGAAGGCGGCUCACUGGUCCGGUACUGACGCUGAGGUGCGAAAGCGUGGGGAGCAAACAGG
rnacentral:rRNA from 1 species